rnacentral:rRNA from 1 species
UCCUACGGGGGGCAGCAGUGAGGAAUAUUGGUCAAUGGGCGGGAGCCUGAACCAGCCAAGUCGCGUGAAGGAAGAAGGUACUUAGUAUUGUAAACUUCUUUUGUCGGGGAACAAAGGCGGAGACGCGUCUCCGGAUGAGUGUACCCGAAGAAAAAGCAUCGGCUAACUGCGUGCCAGCAGCCGCGGUAAUACGGAGGAUGCGAGCGUUAUCCGGCUUGAUUGGGUUUAAAGGGUGCGUAGGCGGACGGUCAAGUCAGCGGUAAAAAUGCGGUGCUCAACGCCGUACAGCCGUUGAAACAGGCAGG